UCUCACGUGCCUGUUGAAUUGAAUGUGAAGUUACGAGUAAUUAAAGUAAUUUAAUAGUCCAAAAUGAAUCCUGCAGAACAGGAAGACCAGGAUCGUGCAGUAAGUAUUUUGUUUAUUUAAUUUUGCAUGAAUUCUGAAGAUUCGAUCAAGUUAACUGCUUGGCGUCCAUGCGUUUAUUUUCAACGCCCGCCAGUUGUAAUUGUAGUUUGAUCGAGUUUGUAGUAACGUAGUUCUAGAAAUGUAGUUUUUUAAAAAAGAAAAUGCUUCAGGUUUAUAGAUCUAGCAGCGGCGGUAGCCCGGUAGGGGUGAACAAUCGAGCCUGCAGCAGUGACGCAUUUUGUUCGCUCGGCGGCAGGGCGGACAUUUUGUUAAGCCCAAUGGCUUGAUCAGUACCAAGCAUGAAUUCGAGCUUUCCUAAAUUGUAGAACCCUUUCAGACCGGAAAAAUAGCACCGUGCUGAUUUAAAAUGAUGUAUUCAAAUAUAUCAAAAAUCGACUAUUGUCGACAUGUCGACGUUUAUCGUUCUGGUCCGAAAGCUUUAUGUGGUCGUUACUUUUACACAUAAUGGCAUGGAGUACCUAGUCAGCAUGAAGCCUGGGAAAAAGAAAAAUUAUAAAGAAAUCGCGAUGAUUCAAUUUCGUUCAAAGAAGACUUUUGAAUAGUCGCAGUCCUGUUGUGGAAUUGCCCCUUCCUGCUAAAGAUACAGGGUCUAGUGUUGUAGUAACACCAGUGUCAACGUUAAAUGCCAGAUAG